rnacentral:rRNA from 1 species
GACGAACGCUGGCGGCGUGCUUAACACAUGCAAGUCGAACGGAAAGGCCUCUUUCGGGGGGUACUCGAGUGGCGAACGGGUGAGUAACACGUGAGUAACCUGCCCUUGACUUUGGGAUAACUUCAGGAAACUGGGGCUAAUACCGGAUAGGAGCUCCUGCUGCAUGGUGGGGGUUGGAAAGUUUCGGCGGUUGGGGAUGGACUCGCGGCUUAUCAGCUUGUUGGUGGGGUAGUGGCUUACCAAGGCUUUGACGGGUAGCCGGCCUGAGAGGGUGACCGGCCACAUUGGGACUGAGAUACGGCCCAGACUCCGACGGGAGGCAGCAGUGGGGAAUAUUGCACAAUGGGUGGAAGCCUGAUGCAGCAACGCCGUGUGCGGGAGGACGGCCUUCGGGUUGUAAACCGCUUUCGCUCAUGACGAAGCUUUGUGUGACGGUAGUGGGUAAAGAAGCACCGGCUAACUACGUG